GCGGGAAUAGCUCAGUUGGUAGAGCGCAACCUUGCCAAGGUUGAGGUCGCCGGUUCGAGCCCGGUUUCCCGCU
rnacentral:tRNA from 1 species